rnacentral:rRNA from 1 species
CUAGUGUAGCGGUGAAAUGCGUAGAUAUUAGGAAGAACACCGGUGGCGAAGGCGACAAACUGGACGAUAACUGACGUUGAGGCACGAAAGUGUGGGGAGCAAACAGGAUUAGAUACCCUGGUAGUCCACACCGUAAACGAUGGAUACUAGGUGUUGGCAAUGAAUAAUUGUCGGUGCCGGCGCUAACGCAAUAAGUAUCCCACCUGGGGAGUACGACCGCAAGGUUGAAACUCAAAGGAAUUGACGGGGGCCCGCACAAGCAGUGGAGUAUGUGGUUUAAUUCGAAGCUACGCGAAGAACCUUACCAAGGCUUGACAUAUAGAGGAAUAAGUAGGAAACUAUUUAGCUCUUCGGAGUCUCUAUACAGGUGGUGCAUGGUUGUCGUCAGCUCGUGUCGUGAGAUGUUAGGUUAAGUCCUGCAACGAGCGCAACCCCUAUUUCUAGUUGCCAGCACGUAAUGGUGGGAACUCUAGAAAGACUGCCGGUGAUAAAUCGGAGGAAGGUGGGGACGACGUCAAAUCAUCAUGCCCUUUAUGUCUUGGGCAACACACGUACUACAAUGGCCGUUACAGAGAGAAGCAAUACAGUGAUGUGGAGCAAAACUCAAAAAGCGGUCUCAGUUCGGACUGUAGGCUGAAAUUCGCCUACACGAAGUCGGAAUUGCUAGUAAUGGCAGGUCAGAAUACUGCCGUGAAUACGUUCCCGGGCCUUGUACACACCGCCCGUCACACCAUGAGAGUUAGAAAUACCCGAAGCCUGUGAGCUAACAGUUUAAUAUUGAGGCAGCAGUCGAAGGCAGAGCUAAUGAUUGGGGUGAAGUCGUAACAAGGUAGCCGUAGGAGAACCUGCGGCUG